rnacentral:rRNA from 1 species
UACGGAGGGGGCUAGCGUUGUUCGGAAUUACUGGGCGUAAAGCGCGCGUAGGCGGACCUGCAAGUCGGGGGGUGAAAGCCCGAGGCUCAACCUCGGAACUGCCUUCGAUACUGCGGGUCUCGAGUCCGGGAGAGGUGAGUGGAAUUCCUAGUGUAGAGGUGAAAUUCGUAGAUAUUAGGAAGAACACCAGUGGCGAAGGCGGCUCACUGGCCCGGUACUGACGCUGAGGCGCGAA